CGGAUCAUGAUCCGCACAUUCACUUUUGAAAGCUGUACUAUUCCUCUCUACACCAAAUUCCUCUGUCUGCAGUUCGUCUACUCGCCAAAUCUAGAUCUGCACCAAAUUCCUCUCUGCAUUUUCAAAAUUUGAAUUCCCAAAUGGAAAGAGAGGAGAGGGAGACAGGGAGAGAACGAGAAAUAGAGAGAGAGAGAGAGAGAGAGAGACGAUGGAGAAGAAGAGAUGACGGCAUGAGAAACCCUAAAUUACAAAAUCGUUCAGAUCUUGAAGAAUUUCUGAUACGAAACCUUUGUUAGGGGGAUACAAUCGAAUGGACAAAAGGUUGAGAGGCAUCGAUUUUGUCAUAAUCGAGAGAAGGAUGAACGGGCAGCGACGAACUGGGUCUCGAUAGGAGUUUUAAGGGAGAAUCUCGUGUUAAUCCUCAUCGUCUUCUGUUCAGAUCUGGUUUUAAUACUGACUGGAAUUACUGUCAGUAAAAUGGAAGGAGGGGAUGAACGUCUGAAUAUAACUGGUCGUUUGGGAGCCGUCAGCUUUGCCCUAAAGUCACUCCAAUACAAAGUCAAAGUGUAGGUCGACCUGCAAGAGUCAAAGCUGCUUAUGUGCUUGCACAAAAGAACUCAAAAGUGUUCCUGGAUUAAGAAAGAUUUAGUGGACCGUGAAAAACUUCAAGCCACACUCGCUGAUGAAUCUUUCUCUAACGGUUCCGAUCUCAAAAAGUCGCUAGAAAUGGUGGCACUACUCGAAGCACAGAUGAAAAACAUAUUCAAAGCCGGCGAACUGGAUUGAUGCAUUGUUGUGGCGUACGAAGGACCGCACCCAUGAAAGGAAGUCCCAGAUCUGGGGUGACGUGGCUAGGGUUCCGUCGUUGGAGCUAUAACUGUGGCGUACGAACGGGUAUUCAGGUCAACGGUGGUGGGUGUGGCAGCAAGAUAAAAACAUAUUGUAUUGGACUUUUGUAUGCCGUGUGGCCACAGAAGAUAAAAUAACACGUAAAAGGUAAGAUGAUUAUAAUGUUAGAUAUGUGUCAAAGCUCAAGGAGGCUGUGUGAUAACGGAUGACUAUAUGUUAUGUUAAAAGCAAAUCUAACAAAGUAUUCUAAAUAUUCUAACA